rnacentral:rRNA from 1 species
ACUCCUACGGGAGGCAGCAGUAGGGAAUUUUCCACAAUGGGCGAAAGCCUGAUGGAGCAACGCCGCGUGCAGGAUGAAUGCCUUCGGGUUGUAAACUGCUUUUAUCUGUGACGAAUAUGACGGU